CGAAAACUGAACGAAUCUGGUUACAAUGCUCGCAACGAAAUCAUACUGCAGCAGUAACUGUUCCGCGUCAAGGGCGAAAAUGAGACACAAGAAUUCCGGCAGAUGCAAACAGAAGUGAUGGAUUUAUUGAGGAUUACAUCAAAUAAUCCAGGAGCUGUGAAUCAGUAAACAAAAAUGGAUAAAGUCAAAACCAAAGAAGAAGAUUCUGA